rnacentral:lncRNA from 1 species
AUAGCGCUCGCUACAAGAAGAGAGUCGAAAACGAAUGGGUGUUGGAAUUUCUCGCCAGCCUCAAUCGCGAACUUGAUGAUGCACGGGGGAGAGUCUUAAGCUGGCGACCGCUGCCAUUAACGAGGGAGGCAUUUGCAGAGGUAAGAAGAGAAGAGAAUCGCCGGAAAAUCAUGAUGAACGGCAGCUCUGAAGGCAAGGUGGAGUCUUCUGUGAUGAUGUCAAGAGGAACUGAAUUCGAAGUUUGGAGACGGGAUGGAAAACCAGUGAAUAGACUGGCUAUUAACGAGCCAAAUGGAUCCAUUGCCAACGGACCGGAAAGGUGGGCUGGAAAAACAAGUAAUGGGCCAGGAAAAUCUACUGGAAUACUUGGGCCAACUAGAUAUAAUAGUGGGCCCAGGUUAAAUGGGCUUUGCUCAAAGGGGCCAAAACAACAAAGGAGAAGACCUUGGUGCAAACACUGCAGGAAACCAGGUAACAAAGAGGAUACUUACUGGGAUAAACACGGGAAACCCACCGACUGGAAGCCAAGUCAAAAUUCAAGAAAUCGGAGCUAUCAAGCACAAGUUGACCCAACCGAACAUUCUAAAGAACACAAUUUCACUUCAGGUGAGGCGUUUAAUU